UACGUAGGUGGCAAGCGUUGUCCGGAAUUACUGGGUGUAAAGGGAGCGCAGGCGGGAAGCCAAGUCAGCUGUGAAAACUACGGGCUUAACUUGUAGACUGCAGUUGAAACUGGUUUUCUUGAGUGAAGUAGAGGUUGGCGGAAUUCCGAGUGUAGCGGUGAAAUGCGUAGAUAUUCGGAGGAACACCGGUGGCGAAGGCGGCCAACUGGGCUUUGACUGACGUUGAGGCUCGAAAGCGUGGGGAGCGAACAGG
rnacentral:rRNA from 1 species